GUACACGCUGUGACUAGCAUAUCAAUAAGCGGAGGAAAAGAAACUAACAAGGAUUCCCCUAGUAACGGCGAGUGAAGCGGGAAGAGCUCAAAUUUGAAAUCUUAAAGGGUUUCCCUUUACGAAUUGUAGUUUAAAGAAGUGUUUUCUGUUGAGGUUUUGGUAAAAGUUCUUUGGAAUAGGACAUCAUAGAGGGUGAGAAUCCCGUAUUUGACCUUUACUUUCAACUUUGUGAUACACUUUCAAAGAGUCGGAUUGUUUGGGAAUGCAGUCCAAAAUGGGUGGUAAAUUUCAUCUAAAGCUAAAUAUUGGCGAGAGACCGAUAGCGAACAAGUACCGUGAGGGAAAGAUGAAAAGAACUUUGAAAAGAGAGUUAAACAGUACGUGAAAUUGUCAAAAGGGAAGCGUUUGACACCAGUGUUGUUUUUCUGAAAAUCAAUUAAAGAACUGUUUAUGCUAAGUUGUUUAGACUUUAUCAGCUAACUGUUUAGUUUUGAGCUUUUCUUUAAUGCACUUUUCAGUUAACAAGUCAACAUCAAUUUCUUUUGCUGUAAAAAAUCUUGAGGAAGGUGGCUUGAGAUUCGUCUUAAGUGUUUAUAGCCUCUUGCCUAUGCAGUCGGAGAGAUUGAGGUCUGCAGCGUAGAUCCUUCGGGGCUAAAUGCAUUUGUGCUAAGUUAUAGCAUUUCAUAGACAACUUGUUGACUAUGAUUUGUCUUGUAGCUUACUCGCUUAUGUUAUUUUACCUACGCUUAGGAUGUUGACAGCAGUAUAGACUGU
rnacentral:rRNA from 1 species